rnacentral:rRNA from 1 species
AUUGAACGCUGGCGGCGUGCCUAACACAUGCAAGUCGAGCGGUAACAGGUGUAGCAAUACAUGCUGACGAGCGGCGGACGGGUGAGUAACGCUUGGGAAUCUGCCUGAUAGUGGGGGACAACCCGGGGAAACUCGGGCUAAUACCGCAUACGCACUACGGUGGAAAGCCGGGGACCGCAAGGCCUGGCGCUACCAGAUGAGCCCAAGUCGGAUUAGCUAGUUGGUAGGGUAACGGCCUACCAAGGCGACGAUCCGUAACUGGUCUGAGAGGACGACCAGUCACACCGGAACUGAGACACGGUCCGGACUCCUACGGGAGGCAGCAGUGGGGAAUAUUGGACAAUGGGCGAAAGCCUGAUCCAGCGACGCCGCGUGGGUGAAGAAGGCCUGCGGGUUGUAAAGCCCUUUCGGUGGGGAAGAAAAGCCUCGAGCUAAUACCUCGGGGUCUUGACGUAACCCAUAGAAGAAGCACCGGCUAACUCUGUGCCAGCAGCCGCGGUAAUACAGAGGGUGCGAGCGUUAAUCGGAAUUACUGGGCGUAAAGCGCGCGUAGGCGGCUUUGCAAGUCGGGUGUGAAAUCCCCAGGCUUAACCUGGGAACUGCAUUCGAGACUGCAUUGCUAGAGUAUGGGAGAGGGAAGUGGAAUUUCCGGU